rfam:Lucilia cuprina strain LS Scaffold198, whole genome shotgun sequence.
AAAUCGGUCCUUUUAAGGAUCACUAAAAAAUAUAAAAAGAGAUUUU